GUGACAUAUUAAAUGUUAUUGAAUUUGUUGGUGACAUCUGUUCCAAGUCUUUGCUCCGUAUAAACGAUAUCGUACCGUCUUCAAAUAACUGCAGUUUAUUUUAUUUUGUUUUCUCAGCGUUUUGUACAUCUACAGAGUUUAAGGUCCAACGGCAUCUCAGAUAAGCGAUUUAGCGACAUCAGUAGUGGUUUCAUUUUUCCGGGAUCAUCUAAUAACAGCAUAAAAGAAUAUGGUUGUUCAACUCGUCGUGAAUCGAAUGACAUUAAGCGCGCCAGCGCCUACAAGUUGAAAUUUCUUCGAACCGUUUCGCUGAAAAAGAGAAUAACAAAUACUCGAGUAUAACAAGAAUCAAUCAAAUUAACAAAGAAAAAGGUAAAGCAUGGUACCGCUCUCAUGUGUAUUAGAUACUGAGUGGAUCGCUGUAAUGGAUGUACACGUGAGUAAACAGUGUACACAUUCACUAUAGUGUAUACCUGAGGGCAAGUGUGCAGCGUAUGUGGGCAAACUUCAACUGCUCCAAAAGGCGAUGAAGAACGGACGAAAAAACUCGUAAAAUCACUACUGCAAAAGUACAAACAUUCAUCGCUUCACUCGGAACCUAAAAUACUAAUAGGUUUGUUGGCCAGACUCGUACCCCUUAAAAAAUUUCGACAGAUACAGAUUAAGAUAGAUACAAUCAUCAUUGCAAAUGAUUUCAUAAAUUAAGAAGAUUAUACGACCUGUAUUAUUGGGUGUAUACUGUAUAUAUCCAGAAUGCAUUAAAAGAGUAUAUUAUGGUGUGUAAUACUGUGUAUAGAAAUUGUUAUUAUUAUAUGCCAUUAUGGUUACAUCGAUGGCUAUAUACGUAAAAUAUAUGGAGGAUAAAGCGAUUACAACUUCAAUGUGCUAGAUCAAAACCUAUUCGUGAUGGAAACGAGGGAAAAUGUUGUUGUCUAUAUUAGCUGUCACGAGUGUGACGUUGUAAUAAGUUACCCUCAUCAUACACCUAAAUACCUGGUUGUUUAUCAUGAACCACCAUCGAGUAAAGGCAAUACUGCGAGUUAAUCUUCACGACGUAGACACAUGAUGAGAAAAUCUACACAAUGUGUUGUUUACAAUUCCAUCUGCGAUUACAACAUAUGAAUACACUGUUAAAAAAAAAUAAGGUGAACAUGUAAAGGUAAGGUACUCAUUUCCUUUGUAGAUCAAUAUGUACCAUCGUACGCUGCACAUGUUAAAAGACAUUUUAAUCGAAACUUUUGGCAUACAAUUCGAUUUUGGAUCAGUAGGCAAGUAACAAAAACUUUGUUAUCGUGUGGAAUAUUAUUCUUAGAGUACAAUAUUUGGUCUAGAUUAAAUUUAAAUCAAUAGAAAUUUAAAGAAAAUUUUUUCGAGGUAUAAAAUAAUUAAUCAUUGAAUUCAAAUUUAACAUUUCCAUUACACAGUAAUACAGUGACUUGCUCAAUGGAAAAAUAUACUUGCCGCAUCUCAUAUACGAGAUAUACUUUCACUGUUACUUCUAAUAAAUUGUAUUACCGUAUUACCUACCUAUUUAAAAUUUUAAUAUUUUUAAAUUAUAGUUCUCAAAACUAGAAAAAGAAAAGUUUUAUUAAAAUAUACAAUUAAUUUAUGACGUUUUUCUGAAUAUUUUUAACCAUUUAUAAUAGUUUUUAUUUUAAAUAUUUAGUGUUUUUGACUGUGAUUGGUGAUUAUUUACAUUUAAUUAACAUAUUAUAAUAUCACAGAGUAGUAAAAAUUAUCAUGACUAAUAAAUAAUUUAAAACAAUUGAUUUAACUAAAAUAAUGAUCAAUGAGAGCUUUUAUAUAUUAAAACUUUAUAAUCUUAUAUACGGUAUAUCUAUUGUUAUCUAUUGUUUUAUAAUAUACAACGAAUUAUAAUGUUUAUGAUUAUUGUGUACCUAAGUGGAAAAUAUAAAAAAAAUAUAUGUAAUAACUUAAUUCAAAAAACUUUAUUGUUAUAAAAUAUUUUAAAAUUAUAUUUAUUAUAAAAGUUUUUAUGUAUAGUGCAAAAGUUACAAUAAUAUUAUUAUUGUAAUAUCAUUUUUUACACAUUUUUUUUUGUGACUAAUGCAUACAAUGCCACAAAACAUAACAUAAUCUCAUAGUCCAACUGAAAUUUAAAAUGAAAUUGAAUUGCUUGUUUGGUUAUUUAUCCCCGUUUAUAAUUAACUAUACCACUGAUUAAAUAGAUCAACUAUAAACUACGUGGUGGGUGGAAAUCGUUUGAUUUUUCCAUCAGUAAUAUUUCCGGUAGGUGGUUUAAAUUAAUUGUGUAUUUAUAUUUAAUAUACAGUAUGCAUCAAAUAUGUUGUAACACAUUUAAAUGUAAAAUAAUUUGCAUGCAUAAUACAAAAAAAAAGUAAUAAUAUAAUUAAUUAAGGAUUGAUAUUUUAUAUACUUGUCCUAAGUAUGAUGAAUUAAUACAAAUUUUAUUUUGUAUAGCGUAUGCGGCUAUGGUAUUUUUUUUUAUCAAUCUGUGUGAAAAUUGUUUACACUAAGUGUAUAUCAAAUAUAAAUUUAAAAUUGUAUAUUAUCAUAAAUCGUCUUUUAUACUAUAUACAGUAGAGUCUCGAUAACUCGAAUUUCAAGGGAGGUAAAAAUUAAUUCGACUUAUGUAUUUUUCGAGUUACAAAUAUCGCAUUAAGUGUUUAAGAAUUCCAUAGAGACAAAAAGAAAUUCGAGUUAUAGAGGUUUUCUAGUUAUCGAGGUUCGAGUUAUCGAGACUCGACUGUAUAUGUAUUAUGUAUAAUAUAAUAAUAUGGGUAUUGGGUAUAACAUAAUAUAUUAUUUUAUUAACUGACAUGUCUUUCGGUGUUUAAAAUAGCCAAAAUCGAGAAACGGUUAAGCAGCGAACACUUUUUCUUAUUCGAUUCUUUAAUAAGCUUGUCGAAGAAAACAGUUUUCGUGACUUAUCCAAUAAAUAAUGUUGUAUUUUAUGAAAUUAUGAAAUGUUAAACUGUCUAUUCAAACUUAUUUCUAGUUGCACAUAUCGUGCUUUGACGAUUAUUUUACUACGAAAUUGGUUAGCAUAACAUAAAUUAUUCAGUGGUCUCGCAGAAAACCAUACUCUAUACCUAUCAUGCAGUAAACCUAAACAAUAAUAUUAUAUACAACGACAACGUAUAACACAUAACGUCCAUAUCAUAUUAUAAUAUUGUAAAUUUAUUGUGAUGCAGAAAACGAAAUAUAUCGGAUAGAAGGGAACCGUGGGAUGUAAAACAAUCACUUUUUACUGGUCCCUUCAGUGCUGUUAAAUUAUAAAUACGGUCUGGACUGUUUAUACAUUUAUAGGUAUACGAACAGUAAAACAAAGAAACGAAAACCUCAUAGUAUAUUAUUAUUGUAAACAAAAUAACAAACAUUUCAGAAAACUACCGAUCGUAUUUCGGACAUAACGCCAUACGUUCAUCCUAUAUAUAAUUGAAACGGGUUAUACCGUGGUUUAUAAAUUCAGUAGAAUUGUACCUGCUGAUGUAGGUGGUAAUAAUCCCUGUUGGCCGUCAAUGAAAACGCAGCCAUUUUGCGGUAUAGUGAAUGGUGACAAAAAGUUGUAUGUGAAAAAAAAAAUUAUCCAAAAUGACAGAGUUAAGUUCCAUAAAAUGUGUGUAAUUUUUUUUUUUAUUAAAUAAUUUCCUGUCAAUGUUUUAUCACACAUGUGAUUCAUUUACGCAUUUUUUAUGACAUCUAAAAAUCGUAAAAACAAAUAAUCUAUUUUAUUUUAUUAAAUUCUUAAUAAUGCAGAUUGAUUUUUCAGUACAUUUUCUAAGCAUACGAGUUUCUAAGUAUAUUUCAUCAAAUACAAUAGAUUAACAAUACGAAAUUCUAGAAUAUUAAGUAAUUUUAUGUUAUCUUUUAUCAGCGUUAAGCAAAAACAAUUGUUUUUAACUUCAUUAAAAAAUAACGAUAAUAAUAAUUAAUGGUAAGUUUAAGUCGUAUUUGUCAAUCUCUGGAUUUUGGAAAAUGUCAUCAUAAUUUUAUUUUAAUGUACUUGUCUAAUAUUUUAUUGUAUGUAUGCAUAUUUUGUAUAUUUUUAGACGUUAAAAUAGUAUAUUGUAUUUGGAGAACACUACUCACCUCACGACCGAUAUGACUUACAGUGUGUAAUUAUUAUUAUUUUUAAUUUUAAGGGAUUGUUCAGCAGUUAUUUGUUGGGGCGAUUGGUGAAUCUCCACCAAGCCUUGAUCGUCUACUCUCAGAAACGCCACUGCCCGGUUCACGGUGAUUGAACCGCGGCUCCUGUACAUGGAGAAAGGAUCGAUGAUGAAAAACGAACAAAGGCUGUAUAAAUGAAGUAUGAAGCAAUGAAAGUAUCGCAAGUUUUAUUAUCAUCAUCUAUAUAGGACUUAUAAGAAAACUACUCGUUCAACAUUCGACUUGAAAUUAUUUAAAUAUAACAAAACUAUCUGAUUAUAACAAUUUUAAUUGAAACCGGGCGUGUCUAAUUAAAAAAAAAGAUGCUUUUAUCACUGAUAGUAUACACAGUAAGCCGAAAUUAUGAAAUUGCUGAAUUUUAGAGCGUUUAAUCAAAUUAAUGUCAUUUUUAAUAACUUUAAACAUAUGUUAAUAUCAAAGUACCAUAGAAUGAUAAGAAAAUUAUAGCGAUGUAACACUUAUAAUUCGCUUAAAAUUAUACUAAUUAAUAUUCUCAAUAUUAAAUUCUAUAAAAAAAAUAAUAAUCUACGUAAUGGCGUCAUACACGUAUAAUGUAUAUUAUGUACAUCUAGUAUUGUAGUUUUAUAAAUUUAUAACGACAAAU